rnacentral:rRNA from 1 species
AGUGAGCGCUGGCGGUAGGCCUAACACAUGCAAGUCGAACGGCAGCACAGUAAGAGCUUGCUCUUACGGGUGGCGAGUGGCGGACGGGUGAGGAAUACAUCGGAAUCUACUUUUUCGUGGGGGAUAACGUAGGGAAACUUACGCUAAUACCGCAUACGACCUACGGGUGAAAGCAGGGGAUCUUCGGACCUUGCGCGAUUGAAUGAGCCGAUGUCGGAUUAGCUAGUUGGCGGGGUAAAGGCCCACCAAGGCGACGAUCCGUAGCUGGUCUGAGAGGAUGAUCAGCCACACUGGAACUGAGACACGGUCCAGACUCCUACGGGAGGCAGCAGUGGGGAAUAUUGGACAAUGGGCGCAAGCCUGAUCCAGCCAUACCGCGUGGGUGAAGAAGGCCUUCGGGUUGUAAAGCCCUUUUGUUGGGAAAGAAAAGCAGCAGGUUAAUACCCCGCUGUUCUGACGGUACCCAAAGAAUAAGCACCGGCUAACUUCGAG